UGCAAGUCGAGCGAGAUUUUGAGGAGUAGAGACUUCGGUCAAAGCGAAUCAAAUGAAAGCGGCGGACGGGUGAGUAACGCGUGAGCAAUCUGCCCCAUACAAAGGGAUACCCACUGGAAACGGUGAUUAAUACCUUAUAAGACCACAGAGUCGCAUGGCUCAGGGGUCAAAGAUUUAUCGGUAUGGGAUGAGCUCGCGUCUGAUUAGCUAGUUGGUAAGGUAAUGGCUUACCAAGGCGACGAUCAGUAGCCGACCUGAGAGGGUGAACGGCCACACUGGAACUGAGACACGGUCCAGACUCCUACGGGAGGCAGCAGUGGGGAAUAUUGCACAAUGGGCGCAAGCCUGAUGCAGCAACGCCGCGUGAAUGAUGAAGGCCUUCGGGUCGUAAAGUUCUGUCCAAAGGGAAGAAUAAAAUGACGGUACCUUUGGAGGAAGCCCCGGCUAACUACGUGCCAGCAGCCGCGGGUAAUACGUANGGGGCAAGCGUUAUCCGGAAUCACUGGGCGUAAAGGGAGCGUAGGCGGUUUGACGAGCCAGAGGUGAAAGGCAAUAGCUUAACUAUUGUAAGCCUUUGGAACUGUC
rnacentral:rRNA from 1 species